UGGCAAGGCGCAGGGCCGGGUGAGGUGGGCGGGGCGGGGAACGCCUGGGCCGGAUUAACCACCCCCCCAGGCCGAUUCCCUAUCAACAGUUUAUUUCUUGAGCACCUUUGGGCCAGGAGCUGAGUCCGUGAUCUGGGCAAACUGUUAAGGCCUCUCUGUGCCUCACUUUCCUUGUCCGUACAAUGGGGCUAAGCACAGACCCCACCUACUGGGUUGUAAGGAUGACUCGCUGAGUUGAUCCAUGCAGAGUCCUGACACACACGGAGAGCUCAAACACGAAAUACUGGUGGUGCCGUCAGUCGGCCAGCAAGCGUCAUGUGCAAAGGCCCUGCAGUGGCCUGUACCAGAUGGCCGCGGAGGGUAUGGAGGGGGUGAGGGUGCAGGCAGGGCGGGGUUUCCUGUGAUGCCAGGAGCUCUGAGCUCGGGAGGGCACUGUGUGAUGACUACAGGGCAGAGGGCAGCCGGGCAGGGGCUGCUGCGGUGCGAGGCAGAAAAGAGCUGGCAGCGCGCAGAGGUGCCGAGAAGUGUGGCCCAGACAGGGUGCAUCCUGGAGGCCGAAUCGGCAGCACUGCCCAGGGCAUAGGAAAAAGAAAAUCGAGAGGGUCUGGUGGUCCCAAGGCUUCAGGGGAAGGGGGGGCACCUCGCCUGCCGCGAGGGAGGCAGCGUUGGAACAUUAGAGGGGCCUCGGAAAGGGUGGGGUCCAGGUGAUCUGGGCAGGGGCGGGGCCCGCAGUGUGGCCUUGGCAGUGGCAUGGGAAAGGCAGGGAGCAAGCCGUGCUGACAGCCUCCCAACCAAGAGGACAAGAGCCCCACGCCUGCCCGGCUGCUGAUCAUCCACGCCCUGCCACCCUCAGGGCUCUGGUGGACAUUCUGCGGCACCAGGGGGGCCCUGGGACCCGCCCGGACCGAGCCCGAAGCAGCUCCCUGACCCCGGGUAUCGGUGGUUCCGACAGCAUGGGCCCCAGGACGCCGAAGAACCUCUACAACACCAUGAAGCCGUCCAACCUCGACUGGCGCCCGGUGCCCCCACCCAGUCCCCCACUGCACUACUCCACGCUGUCCUGCUCACGGUCCUUCCACAACCUGUCACACCUGCCCCCCUCCUACGAGGCGGCCAUGAAGUCGGAGCUGAACCGGUACUCCUCCCUCAAGAGGCUGGGUGAGUCCACCAGGGGGCAGCCCCCGGGGCAGAUCAGGCUGGGUGGGUCAGGCCCAAGGGCAGUGUCUAGCUCUAUCCAGAGGCCCAAAAGCUGUCAUCUGAAGCCCGGUGUGGUGGUGCACGCCUGUGAUCCCAGCACCUGGGAGGCUGAGGCAGCAAGUGUGAGUUCGACGCCAGCCUGGGCUAUCAAGAGAGACCCACUCUCAAAGCUCCCAGGCCUGGCUCCCAGUUUUGAUCACAGCCAUUCCUGAACCAGCUGCUGGCAGUGACGGCUUUCACACACUUUAAUCUGGGAGCUCAGGAGAAAAUGAGCAUUUGAAGCCCACAUAAGUGCACAUAUUAAUUACAGAAAAGUUUGAAGCUUUUAUUAGUGGACAUUUUCAAAUAUUUGCAAAAGCAGAGAAAAUUAAACAUAAGUUCCUUCACCUGCUUUAGCACUGCGCUUACAAACGACCCCAGGUACCAUGUCCUUUCACCCUCCAGCACUUCGCUCUCACGGCCUGAGGUCUGAAGCCGUCUCCUCCCCUUACCCCGCCGACUGAGGGCGCUGUUUCUUGGAGAAGGGGGAGGAGAGGGGAGGAGGGAGGCUCCGGGCCCAGGCCUGGGGUGCAGCGCGGCUCGGCCGCCCGCGACCUCGCGCCC
rnacentral:lncRNA from 1 species